GCUGGCGCGUGCUUACCAUGCAAGUCGAACGGUGAAGCCCAGCUUGCUGGGUGGAUCAGUGGCGAACGGGUGAGUAACACGUGAGCAACCUGCCCCUGACUCUGGGAUAAGCGCUGGAAACGGCGUCUAAUACUGGAUACGAGUAGCGACCGCAUGGUCAGUUACUGGAAAGAUUUAUUGGUUGGGGAUGGGCUCGCGGCCUAUCAGCUUGUUGGUGAGGUAAUGGCUCACCAAGGCGUCGACGGGUAGCCGGCCUGAGAGGGUGACCGGCCACACUGGGACUGAGACACGGCCCAGACUCCUACGGGAGGCAGCAGUGGGGAAUAUUGCACAAUGGGCGCAAGCCUGAUGCAGCAACGCCGCGUGAGGGAUGACGGCCUUCGGGUUGUAAACCUCUUUUAGCAGGGAAGAAGCGAAAGUGACGGUACCUGCAGAAAAAGCGCCGGCUAACUACGUGCCAGCAGCCGCGGUAAUACGUAGGGCGCAAGCGUUAUCCGGAAUUAUUGGGCGUAAAGAGCUCGUAGGCGGUUUGUCGCGUCUGCUGUGAAAUCCGGAGGCUCAACCUCCGGCCUGCAGUGGGUACGGGCAGACUAGAGUGCGGUAGGGGAGAUUGGAAUUCCUGGUGUAGCGGUGGAAUGCGCAGAUAUCAGGAGGAACACCGAUGGCGAAGGCAGAUCUCUGGGCCGUAACUGACGCUGAGGAGCGAAAGGGUGGGGAGCAAACAGGCUUAGAUACCCUGGUAGUCCACCCCGUAAACGUUGGGAACUAGUUGUGGGGUCCAUUCCACGGAUUCCGUGACGCAGCUCACGCAUUAAGUUCCCCGCCUGGGGAGUACGGCCGCAAGGCUAAAACUCAAAGGAAUUGACGGGGACCCGCACAAGCGGCGGAGCAUGCGGAUUAAUUCGAUGCAACGCGAAGAACCUUACCAAGGCUUGACAUAUACGAGAACGGGCCAGAAAUGGUCAACUCUUUGGACACUCGUAAACAGGUGGUGCAUGGUUGUCGUCAGCUCGUGUCGUGAGAUGUUGGGUUAAGUCCCGCAACGAGCGCAACCCUCGUUCUAUGUUGCCAGCACGUAAUGGUGGGAACUCAUGGGAUACUGCCGGGGUCAACUCGGAGGAAGGUGGGGAUGACGUCAAAUCAUCAUGCCC
rnacentral:rRNA from 1 species